rnacentral:tRNA from 2 species
GGGUCGUUAGCUCAGUCGGUAGAGCACCGGCCUUUUAAGCCGGGGGCCGCAGGUUCGAUUCCUGCACGACCCA